rnacentral:rRNA from 1 species
UGCUUACAACAUAGUGUGAAUGCACUGGAUGUUAUUAAAACUCCGCAGUUAAGCGUGCUCAGGAUAGAGUAGUACUGGGAUGGGGUACUACUCAGGAAUUCCUAGUGUUUUACGUGC